rnacentral:siRNA from 1 species
AAGCAAUAACAGGUUUUGGUGUGU